rnacentral:rRNA from 1 species
AAUAAAGGGUUUCCGUAGGUGACCUGCGGAAGGAUAUUA